rnacentral:lncRNA from 1 species
UGGAUUUUCCCUCCGCUCCGUCUGAGGACAGCUGCUCCUAAACACUGGGAUGCUGGUCUGAGAACUGCGAUCCUGCAGAAACCCGCAGCAGGCAUUACACCAACACCCAGAGGUCAGGGUCUGGAGCUCGGAGAGAUUGCCGGGGUGUGUUUAUGAACACUGUCUCCGAUGGUAAAAAUCAACGCCACAGUCAGACGCCGGCUACACCACAUUAACUGCAGUGAAAUAUAGUUUCCAUUAGGGACUCGACGAGACCCUCAGCAUCAGACCCCAUUCAGUCUAUUGUUAAUGGAGAGCGUCUACAAUCAAAGUGUGGAGUGUUUGGGUCAGAAGCCUCAGCGAUUGUGGCCUACCCCAGGGCAGAAGUGCGGCCCCCAGGGACACAGGCUCACCAAGCUCCUUUACGCCGCGCAGCUACCAGCUUCAGCCUGGGGACUCGAGUGCUUCAAAGAGCUAAUGAGCAACUCCAGAAAUGUUUGCUUGAUUGAGUGUGUGGUUCACUUGAAGGCUAGCUUUCUUCUAGUA